CUAGAAAAAAGUUGAUUUUUAGUUAAGAUUGAUUCUGUCUUUUUUGAUUGGCAAAUUUUGAUAAUUUUAUAUACAAGUUUUUGCGUGGUAAAUUU
rnacentral:rRNA from 1 species